rnacentral:sRNA from 1 species
CUGUUUUCCUUCUGCAGAAGAAUGUCUUCCAAGCAAGCCACCUCUCCAUUUGCCUGUGCAGCUGAUGGAGAGGAUGCGAUGACCCAGGAUUUAACCUCAAGGGAAAAGGAAGAGGGCAGUGAUCAACAUGUGGCCUCCCAUCUGCCUCUGCACCCCAUAAUGCACAACAAACCUCACUCUGAGGAGCUACCAACACUUGUCAAUACCAUUCAACAAGAUGCUGACUGGGACAGCGUUCUGUCAUCUCAGCAAAGAAUGGAAUCAGAGAAUAAUAAGUUAUGUUCCCUAUAUUCCUUCCGAAAUACCUCUACCUCACCACAUAAGCCUGACGAAGGGAGUCGGGACCGCGAGAUAAUGACCAGUGUUACUUUUGGAACCCCAGAACGCCGCAAAGGGAGUCUUGCCGAUGUGGUGGACACACUGAAACAGAAGAAGCUUGAGGAAAUGACUCGGACUGAACAAGAAGAAUGGAGAGUUAGAGGGCUUCAAACAUUGUUAAAACUGAAAGUAUAUGAGUGACUUCUUUGAUACAUGACAUCUCUUGCAACAUCCCACAUCUACCUUCUCUACUCUGUACAAGAGUUCACUCAGGUUCAUGUACAUCCUAGAAAACAGAAAUGAAAGAAGACUCUCCAAUAAUAUUUUUAAACAAAGUAAAUCAAGUCUAAGUGAUGGUUAUACUAUGUUGCACUUUCAGUUUUUAUGUACAGAUCUUAGGCCUUAAAAUGUAGAGUAAUUAAUAGCUCUGGACUUAUUGCUAGCAUUGCAAGUUAAAUUGAGACUUUUGUGAUACUAUAGACAAAUUGGGAUUUGAUAUUAGGGAAUUUUUCAUGUAACUUAAUUUUAUUCCUUUGAGGGCUCAAAAACUUAAAAGAUUCCAAUUAAUUUUUGUGGAAGUCUUUCUAAAAUAUAUUGCAUGCUUCCCUGUUUUACUAAUCAGGUAAUAUGACACAAAAUUUAUAUAUUUUUUGAUGACCUAGGGUCAUAAUACAGUAGACUAGGAACUUCAGUACCCUUCAAACAAUUAUGUGACCCUGGGUAAAUUCUUCAAUCUACUAGAGCCACAAAAUUUAAAAUUUGGUUACUGAGUUUGCAACUUAAACAUUUUGAGGAUUAAUAAUAAUAAUGAAUAUGUCUUUAACUGUAAACUAUAUAAAUAUUAACUAUAAACUUAUAAAUUUGACUUGUAAGUAUUACAUUAUAUAUAACAUAUAUAACUGAUAUAUUAUAAAUGUCAAUUAUUUUACUGUGCUAUAAUAAUGCCCCUAGUGAUCAUUGAGAUUAUUAGCACUUUGAUUUUAUGGUUAUUUUUCAAUUAUGAAACUUAAGAGUUUUUGUGUCUGCUUGAUAUAUAUAUCUUUUUGUAUGUAUGUAUUUUUUUUGGUGUGUGUGUUGAUUUCUCCUUCAAUAUCAGGUUGCAAGCUAUUAUUUCUUGCUUAGUUGUAAAUAAUUUCUAAUUUUCUCCUAUUUACCUAUAGAUUAUAAAAUUAGAUAAUCAGGACAUUCUGGACUGUAUUUGAAAUAUGAACAAGUAUGUUCUGGAGGUGUUGCUGAGAGAUUCUGGGAAAUACAUAUGAUCUUUAGUGCAUGAACUACAUGCUGACACUUUUGGCUUCUGAGACUUUGUUGUCCGUAUUCUUGGCUAUGUUCUGAAUAAUGGGGAUUGCCAGAUAAUUAUCUACUGAAUAAGUAAGAUCACUAGAUUACUUUUAAUUGUGAUCCACCAAAAGAUGGUUCCAGUUCUAUAAGUAAGUGGUUUUCAAAAUACUUUGGAGGAGUCUUUAAUGUAAAAAUAAAGACAUUGAUUGAUGAUGAUUUUUUUCUUGAACUACUAGGGAAUUUUAAAUCAUUUUUUCCUUGCAAGUAAUGGUUAAUUUUCUCUUCAUCCUCUUUGUUACCAUGUGUUACAGUUGAUUUUGUGUAAGAGAGACACUUACAGAAUGAGACAGUAGUCCUUUAAGAGUCAUUUAUUACUGUAUUUCUACUAGUAAUGAAUGUUUUCAUACUCUACAGAUUUUUUUUUGCAAUAUGUAUGUUUUAGACAUCAGAAAUUCAGGCAUCUUUAGUAUAUAUUAGUGUAUGUAAUAUAAAUAUAUUAAACACAGAUAUUAAAUGACCAAAAACAUGCUCAUCGAAUUUACCAAUCUCACAAAUCUGGAACAGUGAAUAUAAUGGAUUAAAGAAACGAAACUUAAAAUGUUUUGACAAACUGAAACUAUGAACUUAAAAAUAACCUACCAAGAUAAAAUUUAAUAGAUCUUAUUAUCAACUUCAGAAGUUGUGACCCAAAUCCCAGCUGCACAAGUAAUUACUGAAGAAAAUUCAAAUAACAGCCAGAUGAAUGAUUAAAAAAAAAAACCUAUGAGUUUUAAGUGACAGAAAAUGUAAUGGGGUCAGCAUAGUGAAUAUUGCCAAAAAAAUUGCCAGUGCUAUUUCAGUCAGCAUCACUAGAAGUACAGUAUUAUGCAUUCAAGAGUUGGUAGUCCCACUAAACUCCCUGCUCAAUAGAAUGUUUAUGAAGUAUUGUGUUGAGUUCAAAAUUACCACACUUUAAGAGGAACUCAAAGGCAUUGGGAUAUUCUCAGAGAACAACUGGUAUAAUCACAGAGAUGAAAUUAUAUAAGAAGAAGAAUGGUUGAAGGAAUUAGUAAUACUAACCCCAGAGAAAAGAAAAUCAAGGAUGACGUGAUGGCGCCUUUAAAGAUUAAAGUCACAUGGAGGAGGGAUUGGGUUUAUACUGUCUAGCUUCCUGGGGAUAGAAUACAGAUCAGUGACAAGAAGUUUUGAGGAACCUGAUUAUGGUUGAUAAGACCAACUAGCUAACAGUUGUAGCUGUCUGUAUGGAAUAUUCUCCCUUGGAAGAUAGUAACUUAUCUAUCCUUAGAGAUAUACAGCAAUCUCUAUUGUCAUUUUAAUAGAGGUGUUGUAGAGGACAGAAGUUUGAUCUUUUUCCAAUGCCAAGACUAUGAAUUUUUAUGAACAUUCUUAUAAAAUAUUCCACAGUUUAUGGUAUAUCUUUUUUUUACAGCACUUUUCAAGGACUACAUAGUAUUGUUAUUAUUUUUCUACAUAUUCUUCUGUGAAAUGCAUUUUAUUAAAACUCAAGGAUUCUUAAUUUUUCUUUCUGUGAAUCCCUUUGAUAGUCUAGUGAAGCCUACAGAUCUUUUUUUAAAAAUUAUUUUAAAUGCAUAAGGUAAAAUACACAGAUUACAGAGAAAAUGAAUCAUAUUAAAACAGUAAAUAGGCCAGGCAUGGUGGCUCACUUUGGGAGGCUGAGGCAGACAGAUCAUGAGGUCAGGAGAUCAAGACCAUCCUGGCCAGCAUGGUGAACCCUCAUCUCUACUAAAAAUACAAAAAUUAGCCGGGCAUGGUGGCACGUACCUAUAGUCCCAGCUACUCGGAAGGCUGAGGCAGAAGAAUUGCUUGAACCCGGGAGGCAGAGGCUGCAGUGAGCUGAGAUCAUGCUGCUGCACUCCAGCCUGGGUGACAGAGCGACACUCUGUUUCAAGACAAACAAACAAACAAACAACCAGUAAAUAAUUUAAAACAUUUGUGAUAUGGUAGAAUAUGCUAUUCCACUAAUGCAUUAAGAAAACAAGAUCUUAUAGAGGGCCUAACAGUAUAAUAAUUUUGAAGUAGUGAUAAGCGUAAAAGAUAUUUUGAGAUAUCUCCAAGUAUAAUGUAAUAUAAAAUAUCAAUUGAGAUACUAUUGGUGACAAUGUCAUAGGAACCACAAAUACAGUAUGGUUUGUUACUUGCAUCCAUAAUUUAAGGAAAUGUAAAUUUUCAAUACAGGCUAGUGAAAAAUAAUUUUUCCACAAAAGUUUAGAGACCCCUUGAAUUCUAUCUAUGUCUGCUGGAGUCUGUGGACCACCAGUUAAGAAUCCCUAUGCUAGAUGAUAUGGUACACCCAUAAUGAAUAAAAGAAUGGUCUCUAACUUUUAAUAAUUCAUAUUCUAGUAAGAGAUACAAGGCAUAUAAAAAUGAAGUCUAAUUCAGUAUCUAGUAUAUAAUAAAUUCCAUAGAGCUAUAUAGAUAAAAUAUUAUGGGAAUUUACUAGAUAGAAAAAUUACUUCUGCCUUGGAAGCCAUUGGAAGGUUCUAUAGGGAAAUGGGUCUUAGUUGGUCUUGGAGAAUGAAAGGAUUUAUAUAGACAGAAAUUGAGAGGAGAAACAUUUCAGGCGGAAAGAAUAGGCAGAGGACUUUAAAACGGCCAACAGUUCAGGUUCUAAAUUAAAUAAAGAAGAUGCAUGUGGGAUAUAAGACUGAAAAAGUAGGUUGUGUUCAGAUCAUGGAGGCCCUUUGACUCUUGCCUAAGGAGUUUGAACUUUAUAUUGAAGGCAAUGGAGGAACCACUGACUGUUUUUUAGCACAGUAAGUUGAUGGAUUAGAGCUUUCUUUCAGGGAAGUUAAUCUGGCUGCACUGUUUAGGAUGAAUGGGAGCAGGGAGAGACAUUAAAGAAAUUGUUUCAAGCUAGAGAUAAUGAGGGUCUGCUGAACGAAGGCAGCAGAAAUGAGGAAGGAAGGGGGAUGCAUACGGAAAAGAUAUUAGAAGAUAGAAUUGUUAAGAGUUAAUGUUUAAGUGUAGAGACCAAGACAGAAGAAUGGUUCAAAGAGUGCUCAGAAUUUCUAAACUCUGGGCAAAUAGGAACGUGGCAAUACAAUUAAAAAAAAAAGCGGAGGAACAUGUUUUGGACAUGGGAGCAAUGAGAAUUUUUUUUUUCUUAGUUUGGUAUCUUGAGUUUGAAUCCUAAUUUUGAUUAUCUACUUGGAGCAUAGUAUAGAAUAGCAUAAUGGGAGAACAGAAAUAAUUAUAGAAGGGGUCAUUAAAAAGUUUAGGAUAGAUUUCUGCUUCUCAAAUAAUUAUAUUCUAGGUCUAAGGAGGUGUAACAGCUCCACCAAUAUUUGCCUGACAUUGAUCCUUUAAAGUUCCAGGUCCAUCUCCUCAUUUGGGACGUAUUAUCUCAUUGGACACCUAAAAGUCUUCAAAUGCAUUACCCACCUCUCCCUCACAUCUACUUCAUGGUUUGAGGGCCAUAUUUCAUGAUUAGCUGAGAGACAAGCCUGUGAUUGACAUAAUAAAUGAUCACCUUUCUUGCAUUAUUCUUGUCCUGGAGAAUAUUUUUACUCUUUAUCAGACUAAAUACCUCUCCCUCAUUUGCCCUCAUCUACAAGAACUGAUCUGUAAAAAGUUCGUUAUGGUCCUUUUAAAAACUAUAUUUGCAUGAUGAAACAAAAACUCCCCAGGCAGAUGCUUUGAUCAACCAAAUUGUUGUCCAGUGUUUAAUCUGCUAUUCCUUCAAGAAAUGCCCUCUCCUGAGUAGUGAUUUGACUAGAUUGUAAAACACUGUUGAACAAAGGCGCUACAUCUGAAGUGCCCCCUCUGAAACUGAGACUUAUGGGAAGAUAGGCAAAGUUUCUGUCUUUUGUAAGUUUAACUUUGAUUUAGUAUUAUAGAUAGGUAAAUUGGUAUGUAGGUAGGUAGACAGAUGCAUAGAUGGAUUGAAUGAUUGAAUGUCAGAAACCACCUUUUAAAACAUUGGUAGAUAGAGUGUACAGCAAGGCUUUGAUUAAUAGAUUCAGGUUAAGAUGCUUCCAAGGCUAAAAUUCUUCAGCUAUAAUAAAAUGAUGAAUUUUAGUUAUCCUUGUAUCACCCGUCUUGUUGCCAAUAUAGCUAGGCUCUAACAUAAGCGACAGAAAAUGAAUACUUUAAAAAGGACUUCUAUAUCUAAAUACAUAUAUUUAAUCAGAGAGUCCUUUGGCUUCUGAAAAUAAGUUGUCUAAUGAGAAUUUCAUUUGAGCAGCUGUGACUGAGGAGGUCAACAGGCACUGCCUAGGAGAAUAUGGCCCAGCUGGUUAAAUCUGGUUGUUGUCGUGAUUUAAAUGGUCAAGUGCUGCUUGUAAUCCAGGACCGUCUGUUUGUAAAGGGAAGAGUGAGUGCUUCAGCAUAAUGUACAGCUGUUUUAAUCUCUCUUUAAUAAUAGUGCUUCAGCCACUAUCAUGUCUUGUGUAUCAUACUACUAAGUAUAUGAUCCUAGGCCGAGGGCACUGGUUUGAGUCAGGUUCUGGAGUCAUGUGAGAUUGCAGGAAAAGGGAUACAAUGAUAAAACUCAACUGUCUGACAAAAUAAAACUAAAUUCCUGACUCUAUGGCUCUUUUUAAAACUUAUUCUUUAGGUAAUAAUUAUUGUGAUUAGGAGAGAGUGACAAAGCUUGUAGUUAGGUAGAAAUAUUAAAAUAAAUGAACUCUCUUUGUUAGAGCCAUAAAUGUAAUGGAAAGUAUGCAAGCUUUAGAUACAAUUCCAUAGGACGUACAUUGGUCAGAAAUUAGAGUAUUUGCCCAGUGGAAUUGUGUGCUUUCUGCUAUCAUGGUAAUAAAAGUAUGUGGAUUCAUUUUACUGUGCAUGUAAGAAGGGACAGCAGCAUUUGAGCUUUGAAUUCCUGGUGGGACAGGCUUUCCAAUGGAUUAUGCAGCUGUUUCCAAGCACAAGAAUGAGCAUGUGUUUAUGUGUAUAUCUGAUGGAUUAUUAUCAUUGUUCACAUCUCUAAACAAUCAUUUGUAUUUCUACAUAUAUUUUCACUGAAAUAUAUUUACUUUGCUUAUAAGUUGUGUUUUGCUCCUCUGAUAGACUUUGCUGUACUAAAAGAGAUAUAUGGUAUAGUUUAAACAAUGAGGAAAUUCAUUUUUAAAAGUCAUGUCUUUGAGCUAGAUCUGAGUUUGAAUCUAAGUUUUAAUAUUUAGAGAGACAGUAUAGCCUACUGAGUGUAGACUCUGGAGCUAGGUUGCCUGUGUUUGAAUUUCAGUUCAGCAUUUCCUAGAUGGAUGACAUAGAGCAUGUUACUUGAUCUCUCUGCUUUAGUUUCUCAACCAAAAAAUGGGUAUCUUUACAGUGUUAUCAUAAGGAUCAAGGUUUUCAUGAAGAUGAAUAAUUAGUUAAGGCAACUAAAGCAUUUAGAACAUUGCCAGCUCAAAGUAAGUGCUCAAUAAAUGUAGCCAGCAUCAUUUCCUGGUUGUGUGACUUUGGACAAAUUAAUCUUUUUGUGCUUCAGUUCCCUCAUCUGUAAAUCUGUAUGAAUGAUACCUGCCUUGCAGGGUUGUUGUGAGGAUUUGACAUAUUAAUAUAUACAAUAUUUAGCUUCUGAAAUUAUAACUAUUACUAGUAUUGCUAUUAUAACUACUAUUGCUGUUAUUAUUUGAAGAAACUUUUAAAAAAGAAA